CCUACUGCAAGGUCAGGCGACCAGCGGUGGUGGAAAUGGUACAGCGACGUCUAAGGACGUCCUGUCCACAACUCCCGUCCUGUCGCCCAGCGCGGAGAUGGGCCAACCCCGUGACGGCACGAUG
rnacentral:lncRNA from 1 species